AGAGUUUGAUCCUGGCUCAGGACGAACGCUGGCGGCACGCUUAACACAUGCAAGUCGAACGAGAGAAGAGGAGCUUGCUUUUCUGAUCUAGUGGCGGACGGGUGAGUAACACGUGAGCAAUCUGCCUUUCAGAGGGGGAUACCGAUUGGAAACGAUCGUUAAUACCGCAUAACAUAAUUGAACCGCAUGAUUUGAUUAUCAAAGAUUUAUCGCUGAAAGAUGAGCUCGCGUCUGAUUAGCUAGUUGGUAAGGUAACGGCUUACCAAGGCGACGAUCAGUAGCCGGACUGAGAGGUUGAUCGGCCACAUUGGGACUGAGACACGGCCCAGACUCCUACGGGAGGCAGCAGUGGGGAAUAUUGCACAAUGGAGGAAACUCUGAUGCAGCGAUGCCGCGUGAGGGAAGAAGGUUUUAGGAUUGUAAACCUCUGUCUUCAGGGACGAAAAAAGACGGUACCUGAGGAGGAAGCUCCGGCUAACUACGUGCCAGCAGCCGCGGUAAUACGUAGGGAGCGAGCGUUGUCCGGAAUUACUGGGUGUAAAGGGAGCGUAGGCGGGAUCGCAAGUCAGAUGUGAAAACUAUGGGCUUAACCCAUAAACUGCAUUUGAAACUGUGGUUCUUGAGUGAAGUAGAGGUAAGCGGAAUUCCUAGUGUAGCGGUGAAAUGCGUAGAUAUUAGGAGGAACAUCAGUGGCGAAGGCGGCUUACUGGGCUUUAACUGACGCUGAGGCUCGAAAGCGUGGGGAGCAAACAGGAUUAGAUACCCUGGUAGUCCACGCCGUAAACGAUGAUUACUAGGUGUGGGGGGACUGACCCCUUCCGUGCCGCAGCAAACGCAAUAAGUAAUCCACCUGGGGAGUACGACCGCAAGGUUGAAACUCAAAGGAAUUGACGGGGGCCCGCACAAGCAGUGGAGUAUGUGGAUUAAUUCGAAGCAACGCGAAGAACCUUACCAGGUCUUGACAUCGUAUGCAUAGCUCAGAGAUGAGUGAAAUCUCUUCGGAGACAUAUAGACAGGUGGUGCAUGGUUGUCGUCAGCUCGUGUCGUGAGAUGUUGGGUUAAGUCCCGCAACGAGCGCAACCCUUACUGUUAGUUGCUACGCAAGAGCACUCUAGCAGGACUGCCGUUGACAAAACGGAGGAAGGUGGGGAUGACGUCAAAUCAUCAUGCCCCUUAUGACCUGGGCCUCACACGUACUACAAUGGCUGUCAACAGAGGGAAGCAAAGCCGCGAGGUGGAGCGAACCCCUAAAAGCAGUCUUAGUUUGGAUUGUAGGCUGCAACCCGCCUACAUGAAGUCGGAAUUGCUAGUAAUCGCAGAUCAGCAUGCUGCGGUGAAUAC
rnacentral:rRNA from 1 species